AACGAACGCUGGCGGCAUGCCUAACACAUGCAAGUCGAACGAUUGCCUUCGGGUGAUAGUGGCGCACGGGUGCGUAACGCGUGGGAAUCUGCCCUUAGGUUCGGAAUAACAGCUGGAAACGGCUGCUAAUACCGGAUGAUAUCGCGAGAUCAAAGAUUUAUCGCCUGAGGAUGAGCCCGCGUUGGAUUAGGUAGCUGGUGGGGUAAAGGCCUACCAAGCCGACGAUCCAUAGCUGGUCUGAGAGGAUGAUCAGCCACACUGGGACUGAGACACGGCCCAGACUCCUACGGGAGGCAGCAGUGGGGAAUAUUGGACAAUGGGCGCAAGGCUGAUCCAGCAAUGCCGCGUGAGUGAUGAAGGCCCUAGGGUUGUAAAGCUCUUUUACCCGGGAAGAUAAUGACUGUACCGGGAGAAUAAGCCCCGGCUAACUCCGUG
rnacentral:rRNA from 1 species